rnacentral:rRNA from 1 species
UGGGGAAUUUUGGACAAUGGGCGAAAGCCUGAUCCAGCAAUGCCGCGUGUGUGAAGAAGGCCUUCGGGUUGUAAAGCACUUUUGUCCGGAAAGAAAUCCUUGGCUCUAAUACAGUCGGGGGAUGACGGUACCGGAAGAAUAAGCACCGGCUAACUACGUGCCAGCAGCCGCGGUAAUACGUAGGGUGCAAGCGUUAAUCGGAAUUACUGGGCGUAAAGCGUGCGCAGGCGGUUUGCUAAGACCGAUGUGAAAUCCCCGGGCUCAACCUGGGAACUGCAUUGGUGACUGGCAGGCUAGAGUAUGGCAGGAGGGGGGUAGAAUUCCACGUGUAGCAGUGAAAUGCGUAGAGAUGUGGAGGAAUACCGAUGGCGAAGGCAGCCCCCUGGGCCAAUACUGACGCUCAUGCACGAAAGCGUGGGGAGCAAACAGGAUUAGAUACCCUGGUAGUCCACGCCCUAAACGAUGUCAACUAGUUGUUGGGGAUUCAUUUCCUUAGUAACGUAGCUAACGCGUGAAGUUGACCGCCUGGGGAGUACGGUCGCAAGAUUAAAACUCAAAUGGAAUUGACGGGGUCAUA